UUUCCGUAGGUGAACCUGCGGAAGGAUCAUUAUUGUAUAACCGACGCUCUAGGGCUGCCGCUGACCCGAUAGGCCGCUCACCCCCGAUUGCUUCCACACACACCCAUCCCACCCCUACGUGCACCACCGCGAGGGUCCCCCUUUGGCUUGCUCGGCGGGGGCCUUACGUUUUCACACAUACUUUGUAUGCAGUGUAGAAUGAAUUUUUUGUUUUUGUGAUCACGCAACCUACACAACUUUCAACAACGGAUCUCGUGUCGCUCGAAACCAUGAAGAAUG
rnacentral:misc_RNA from 1 species